rnacentral:rRNA from 1 species
ACCUGCGGAAGGAUCAUUACCGAUCAAUCCAAAAGACCGAGCUGGAGACAUCUCUCUCUCUCUCGACUCUUUUACACCGCGAACAGUAAGAAGGAUUGGGGGUCGCCCCGUUGAGGGCGUCAAACGGUCAGAGCCAAUCAGGAUUCUGACGGCCCCCAACGUUAUUUUCAAUUUUUACAAACAACAACAACACAACUGUGCCAACAGAAAAAUCACCUGAGCCGUCUCCGGACGACUUGGAAAAAAAAUUAAAAGUUCAUAACUUUUAACGGUGGAUCUCUUGGCUCGUGCAUCGAUGAAGAACGCAGCCAGGUGCGAUAAUUAGUGUGAAUUGCAGAAUUCAGUGAAUCAUCGAAUCUUUGAACGCAAAUGGCGCUCUUGGGUUUUCCCAGGAGCACGUCUGUCUGAGUGUCGGUUUCAAAAAAAUAAUAAUAACCAUCGCACGCGUAACUGCCUGCGGUGGGCGUUGAGGCGUCGCGGCCCCCCGCUUCCUUGAUUGCGAUCGGCGGGCCUCGUCCCUUGAAGUGCAGCACGGCCGAACGGCGCGACUCCGUGUCGCCGCGUUCGGGGAGGCCAAAAGCAAAAACUUUGCCCUUCCUCGAGGCGGCACGGCUCGCACACCGCUUGCGUCGUGUGAGUGAGUUGAGCACGCGCUGCUCGACAAACCCAACCCACCACAACAUUCUUGACCUCAGAUCAGGCGAGACUACCCGCUGAAUUUAAGCAUAUUAAUAAGCGGAGGAAAAGAAACUAACAAGGAUUCC